GAUCACGAAACCCAAUGUAUGGUUUGGACCACGAAACCCAAUGCCCCAAAUGACUCCGAUGAGAGAUGCAGGAGGGGCCACUCCAAUCCAUGAUGGAAUGCCAACUGCCAUGAGUGACGGUGCAUGGAAUCCUUAUGCACCAAUGAGCCUAUAAAGUGAAACUUCGGACUUAUAGCCAUGACCAGACAUUACAAAAAAGACGAGGAUGACUAUGAUGGUGGAAAGAUGAAGAAGAAGCAGAAGAGAUCAGAAUUGAUAGAUGAUGUGGUUGAAGAUGAUUACCGCCUGAGAAAAUGCAAGAGUCGACCUGGUUUUGAGAUUUUGAACGAUAUCGCAGCUGUUGCAAGUGAUGAUGAUCUCUCUUUCCAAUUUUCUUUCUUCAGCUUAAUUACUGCAAAUUUGUGGGAAGUGGAAUUUUUAAUUCAAUAUGUGAGUAUGCUGUUGGGUGGUUUU